rnacentral:lncRNA from 1 species
CUGCAGCUGUGUACAGGGUGUCAGAACAAAACGUUUUUCCGUUCUGGUUUUAGUUUCGUUCCACUGAAAAACGUUCCAUUCCGGUUCUGCUCCCGAAUGAAAAAAAAAAAA